UAGGGAAUCUUCCGCAAUGGACGAAAGUCUGACGGAGCAACGCCGCGUGUGUGAAGAAGGAUUUCGGUUCGUAAAACUCUGUUGUUAGGGAAGAAAAAAUGUAUAGUAACUAUAUACAAAAGAGACGGUACCUAACCAGAAAGCCACGGCUAACUACGUGCCAGCAGCCGCGGUAAUACGUAAGGUCCGAGCGUUGUCCGGAAUCAUUGGGCGUAAAGGGUACGUAGGCGGAUAAGCAAGUUAGAAGUGAAAUCCUAUAGCUCAACUAUAGUAAGCUUUUAAAACUGCUCAUCUUGAGGUAUGGAAGGGAAAGUGGAAUUCCUAGUGUAGCGGUGAAAUGCGCAGAUAUUAGGAGGAAUACCGGUGGCGAAGGCGACUUUCUGGCCAUAUACUGACGCUGGGGUACGAAAGCGUGGGUAGCAAACAGG
rnacentral:rRNA from 1 species